rnacentral:rRNA from 1 species
GGGGAAUAUUGCGCAAUGGGGGGAACCCUGACGCAGCAACGCCGCGUGAGUGAAGAAGGCCUUCGGGUCGUAAAGCUCUGUCAUUGGGGACGAGAAAAGACGGUACCCAAGGAGGAAGCCACGGCUAACUACGUGCCAGCAGCCGCGGUAAUACGUAGGUGGCGAGCGUUGUCCGGAAUUACUGGGCGUAAAGGGUGCGUAGGCGGGAUAUUAAGUUAGAUGUGAAAACCCUGAGCUUAACUUGGGGACUGCAUUUAAAACUGGUAACCUAGAGUGCAGGAGAGGUAAGCGGAAUUCCUAGUGUAGCGGUGAAAUGCGUAGAUAUUAGGAAGAACAUCAGUGGCGAAGGCGGCUUACUGGACUGUAACUGACGCUGAUGCACGAAAGCGUGGGGAGCAAAC